GCAUUUGAAGGCGUAUUAAACCGAUGUAUUUUGUGUUCUUUGAACAAUUAAAAUAAUUUAAACUAGUGAGUGUUAAUUGUAUUUCUGUAAAAACAACUUGGACAACACAGUAUUUUUAAGCUUUAACAAAUACUUUAAAAUUGUACGUGCUUGAGUGGCGAGAACUGAGGAAAACAGUAUUUUUAACCUUAAACAAAGACUUAAAAGUUUUGGGUUCGUGCUGCUUGUUAGCGGUGUUAUUAGUUUGGAGUGGGAUAAGUUACAUCAAAAAAUAGUUAGGCAUGCCUGGAACGAGAUGUGCCAUGUAUGGGUGCAAUAACAACUAUUUUGAUGAAAAAGCAAGUUCUCAAAGAUGUAGUUUUCAUCGCUUUCCCAAAGGGAAAGAUCUAGUAUCCCGAACUAUUCGGAAUGAGUGGAUAGUUCGAUGUAGAAGAGAGGACAAAGUUAAUCCAUAUACAAGCUAUGUCUGCUCAGUUCAUUUUACUGAAAAUGAUUAUGAAAGAGACUUACAAAAUGAGUUAUUAGGUUUACCUUUAAAAAAGAUUUUAAAAAGAACUGCUGUUCCCACCCUAUUUUUAUUUAACCAGAAGCCACCAACAGAAGCAGGAUUAUGUAGAUCAAAACGACCUAAUUCCAAAAAUGCCAAAAAAGAAGCGCAGCAGGUAUUGUCUGAGCUUUUAGCAGCAACAUCAAAUGCCACAAGUGAAAUACGAGAGAAAAAUCCAUCUCCAGAACCCAUGCCAGGACCCAACUCUGAACCCCGACUAAUAAAUUGUAAAGCUAAGUAAGUAUAUGAAUUUCUUGGAUAGUUUUAAUAAUUUAACCAAAAAAAUAUUCUUUGCUAGGAGCUAGUUCUAUUAAAACUAAAGGUCUUUUUAUCAAAAGUAAUAAAAAAAAAUAAAAUUCUUAAUGACCAACUAAAAUAUUUCAAAACUAAAUAUUACAAAUCCCCAAAAUCUAAAACAACUGAAGAAAUAGCACCCAUGACACUAUUAAAGAUGGUACUUUCCCAGAAUCAAAUCGAUUUAUUGUAAAAAAAAGAAGCGAGUAAACUGGACUGGAGACAAAAUAGGUGUAGCAUUUACGUUAAGAUAUUACAGUAAGAAAUCUUACCUUUAUUUAAGAAGUGAAUUACAUUAUCCAUGUCUUCCUUAAGAAGACGGGCUUCAGAACUUAAUUUAAGUCAAGGAAUAUUAUCAGAUGUUUUGCUAAUGCUUAAGCUAGCAGCUGAAUCAUUUUCUACUUUUGAAAGAACAGUUGUUUUACAGUAUGAUGAGGUUAAAGUGAAGGCUCUGGAAGAAUAUGAUGUCGCUCAAGAUGAAAUUUUAGGUCCUUAUAACAAUGUGCAAGUUGUUAUGGCUCAAGGCCUAUUUUCAAACUGGAAGCAACCUAUUUUUAUUGCUUUUGACCAAAAAAUAACCAAAGAAAUUUUGUUCAACAUUAUCAUUGAACUUCACAAAAUAUCAUUUAAUGUGGUGGCUUGUGUAAGUGAUUGUGGUGCAAGUAAUGUGGGACUAUGGAAAGUAUUAGGCAUCAAUAUAAAUAACACUUCAUUUAAGCAUCCCAUUUCUAAUAAUAACAUAUAUGUUUGCUGACAUUUAUUAAAAUUAUUGCAUAACUGGCUUUUAGAUAGAGGAUUUAUGCUAAAGGACAAUUUAAUUUUAAAUAAAAAUCCUCUUCAGGCUCUGGACUCCUUAACCGAUAGUGAAGUCAAUGCUUGUUGAAAAAAAAAACCAAAAGCAUUUAGAUGUUGAAAAAGCAAAUUGUCAAAAUGUGCUACUUGCUGCGCAACUUCUCUCUAAUAAUGUUUCUACUGCUCGUUUACAUAACCUGGGAGAAGAUAAGAAAAUGACAGUGGAUUUGGGAAACUUCAUAGAUGAUGUUAAUUUAUGGUUCAAUAUUUUUAAUAGCUAUGUUCCAAACGGGAGUGUCCCGGCAAAAAAUGCCUAUAGAAUAGAUUGGAAAAAUCAAAAUGACCACUUAAAAAAAAUGUACGAAUUAAUUUAUAAUAUGAGAGUUGUUGGAAAAAACACCCUAAUGACUUUUCAAAAAGGCAUAUUAAUGUCAAUUAUUUCUUUACAAAAUUUGUUUGAAAACAUGAAGUCCACUUUAGAUAUUUAAAUAUAUUUGUACUCAUGAUCAGGAUAGUUUGGCGAACUUUUUUUUCUCAAAUAAGAAGCAGAGGGGGUCCAGAUGAAACCCAACACCUCAUGGGGGCAUUUACAAAAUUCGUAUGAUUCUAUUAGGAAAAAUCCUGGUAUUUUAGGUUCUAAAGUAAAUACAAAAGAGCGAGUUUUAGACAAUUGCAUUAUUUGUACCAAAGUGUUAGACAUUAAAGACACGCCUGUUUACAAUUUACAUAAUGAAUCCUAAAGCAGCUCAUCAUUUUCAUCAGUUUCCCCAAGUGGAUCUAAGGAUCCAUCUGAUUUUAA